rnacentral:rRNA from 1 species
AGUGAACGCUGGCGGUAGGCCUAACACAUGCAAGUCGAACGGCAGCACAGUAAGAGCUUGCUCUUACGGGUGGCGAGUGGCGGACGGGUGAGGAAUACAUCGGAAUCUACUUUUUCGUGGGGGAUAACGUAGGGAAACUUACGCUAAUACCGCAUACGACCUACGGGUGAAGGCAGGGGAUCUUCGGACCUUGCGCGAUUGAAUGGGCCGAUGUCGGAUUAGCUAGUUGGCGGGGUAAAGGCCCACCAAGGCGACGAUCCGUAGCUGGUCUGAGAGGAUGAUCAGCCACACUGGAACUGAGACACGGUCCAGACUCCUACGGGAGGCAGCAGUGGGGAAUAUUGGACAAUGGGCGCAAGCCUGAUCCAGCCAUACCGCGUGGGUGAAGAAGGCCUUCGGGUUGUAAAGCCCUUUUGUUGGGAAAGAAAAGCAGCAGGUUAAUACCCCGCUGUUCUGACGGUACCCAAAGAAUAAGCACCGGCUAACUUCGUG